rnacentral:rRNA from 1 species
AUCCGUAGGGGGCGAGCGUUGUCCGGAAUGAUUGGGCGUAAAGGGCGCGUAGGCGGCUUUGCAAGUCAGUAGUGGAAGUCCAUUUUUCAAGGAUGGAAGUGCUACAGAAACUGCGGAGCUUGAGUGCAGGAGAGGUUAUCGGAAUUCCCGGUGUAGCGGUGAAAUGCGUAGAGAUCGGGAGGAACACCAGUGGCGAAGGCGGGUAACUGGACUGCAACUGACGCUGAGGCGCGAAAGUGUGGGGAGCAAACAGGAUUAGAUACCCUGGUAGUCCACACUGUAAACGAUGAAUGCUAGGUGUAGGAGGUAUCGACCCCUUCUGUGCCGCAGUAAACACAGUAAGCAUUCCGCCUGGGGAGUACGGUCGCAAGAUUAAAACUCAAAGGAAUUGACGGGG